GGGGAGUACGGCCGCAAGGCUAAAACUCAAAGGAAUUGACGG
rnacentral:rRNA from 1 species